rnacentral:rRNA from 1 species
AUACGGAGGAUCCGAGCGUUAUCCGGAUUUAUUGGGUUUAAAGGGAGCGUAGGUGGAUUGUUAAGUCAGUUGUGAAAGUUUGCGGCUCAACCGUAAAAUUGCAGUUGAAACUGGCAGUCUUGAGUACAGUAGAGGUGGGCGGAAUUCGUGGUGUAGCGGUGGAAUGCUUAGAUAUCACGAAGAACUCCGAUUGCGAAGGCAGCUCACUAGACUGCAACUGACACUGAUGCUCGAAAGUGUGGGUAUCGAACAGGAUUAGAUACCCUGGUAGUCCACACGGUAAACGAUGAAUUCUCGCUGUUUGCGAUAUACAGUAAGCGGCCAAGCGAAAGCAUUAAGUAUUCCACCUGGGGAGUACGCCGGCAACGGUGAAACUCAAAUGAAUUGACGGGG